AAGUAUCUCGGUAUGUAAACUUCUAUCAGCAAGGAAGAAAAUGACGGUACCUGACUAAGAAGCCCCGGCUAACUACGUGCCAGCAGCCGCGGUAAUACGUAGGGGGCAAGCGUUAUCCGGAAUUACUGGGUGUAAAGGGUGCGUAGGUGGCAUGGUAAGUCAGAAGUGAAAGCCCGGGGCUUAACCCCGGGACUGCUUUUGAAACUGUCAUGCUGGAGUGCAGGAGAGGUAAGCGGAAUUCCUAGUGUAGCGGUGAAAUGCGUAGAUAUUAGGAGGAACACCAGUGGCGAAGGCGGCUUACUGGACUGUCACUGACACUGAUGCACGAAAGCGUGGGGAGCAAACAGG
rnacentral:rRNA from 1 species